rnacentral:rRNA from 1 species
GUCUACAGCCAUACAACCCUGAAUGCACCCGAUCUCAUCUGAUCUUGGAAGCUAGGCAUGGCUGGGCCUGGUUAGUACUUGGAUGGAAGAAGUAUACAGAAUAAUAAUUUAUAGUGCUGUAACCC